rnacentral:rRNA from 1 species
AUUGAACGCUGGCGGCAGGCUUAACACAUGCAAGUCGAGCGGGGUGAUGGUGCUUGCACUAUCACUUAGCGGCGGACGGGUGAGUAAUGCUUCGGAAUCUGCCUAUUAGUGGGGGACAACAUCUCGAAAGGGAUGCUAAUACCGCAUACGUCCUACGGGAGAAAGCAGGGGAUCACUUGUGACCUUGCGCUACUAGAUGAGCCUAGGUCGGGUUAGCUAGUUGGUGGGGUAAAGGCCUACCACGGCGACGAUCUGUAGCGGGUCUGAGAGGAGUAUCCGCCACACUGGGACUGAGACACGGCCCGUACUCCUACUGGAGGCAGCAGUGGGGAAUAUUGGACAAUGGUGGGAACCCUGAUCCAGCCAUUCCGCGUGUGUGAAGAAGGCCUUAUGGUUGUAAAGCACUUUAAGCGAGGAGGAGGCUCUUUUGGUUAAUACCCAAGAUGAGUGGACGUUACUCGCAGAAUAAGCACCGGCUAACUCUGUGCCAGCAGCCGCCGUAA